rnacentral:rRNA from 1 species
UACGGGGGGAGCAAGCGUUGUUCGGAUUACUGGGCGUAAAGGGCGCGUAGGCGGCGUGACAAGUCACUUGUGAAAUCUCCGGGCUUAACUCGGAACGGUCAAGUGAUACUGUCGUGCUAGAGUACAGAAGGGGCAACUGGAAUUCUCGGUGUAGCGGUGAAAUGCGUAGAUAUCGAGAGGAACACCGGUGGCGAAGGCGGGUCUCUGGGCCGAUACUGACGCUGAGGAGCGAAAGCGUGGGGAGCGAACAGG